CCGGAGCGGGACCGACGGGACCGAGCGAGCGACCGACGCGCCACCCGCCGACGCCUCAGCCGCUUGGGGCCCGCACGGACCCUCUACUUCAGUGUAGAAUGAGCCAAGGAGACUCAAACCCAGCAGCUAUUCCGCAUGCGCUUUUAGCUUCUCUCUUGACUGAGGAUCAAAUAUCCCUUUGUGAGCUGGCCCUCAGCUCCUUUGCUCAUGUGUACAAACCUCAGAUGUUACUACAUUUUAUAUCUACCAGAGCUAUUCAAGCAAUAGUAUUUGAACCACUAGCCUUUUAAAUAAAAUUCUGCCCCAUUACUGAUGUGCAGAUAUUGAGUUCACUUUCAUUUUUUGCCAGAUUUCUUUGCACUACUUUAGGUAAAAAUAGUUAAUCUAUUUUUCUUUGACAUCCUAGUUUGCGUCAGUGACAGAACUUACUGCUUAGUCUUUGUACUUUUUAAAAAAUCUAUAAAUUUAAUGCACUGUCCAAGUGAAAUGUCCUAGUUGUCAUUGUGAUUAAGGGGCCAACUUUCCAGGCAGCUAGCAGAGAUACUAUUCUCUUCCUCUCCCAGCAAAUUUGUAUUCCUUCGCCCACGCAUUCCUGCUAUACUAGAUGGCAGCCAGUGAUGGAACUAUAAAGAUGUCUGUGGUCAUAUGUUGAAUGUGGCAGCUUGAAGAUGUACUGCCACGGGUGAUCUAGGGCAGGCUGUCUUCCAGUCCAUGUGUUCUCGGUCGCCGUAGACAGCGCUCUGGCUACCACCGUGAGGCUACUUGAACUGUCAGGGGCAUCUGCCUAAACCAGAAUCUUUUGUCAGAAACCUUAACCCAACAAAACAAAUCUUGAGUAGCUCAUGCCCGGCUCUUAGGAAUUUUGUCUGUUUAAAAAAAAAAAAAAAAAAAAAGUCCAACUUACUUUAUUUUAUUUUUUUAACCUAGUCACUGUUUACAAUUGUAUGCUAAAGCCUGAAAUAUUGUCUGUGCUGUGGUGUAUGAGCAUUGCCAACUUUAUAUUUAUUGCAGUGAAGAAGAAACUAAAAAUAUAUGGAAAUGAGGAGCAUGUCCAAGCUCCUAAAUCCGUGUGGGUGCAUGUGGGAGAAGUGAGUUAGGGCCUCUUGAAAGGAGGCUUUUUGGAGAGGGGUCCCCCAGGUUUCUUGGUGUUCCUGCUUGGGGAUCACUGCUGCUAGCUGACUGGACCUCCCCAUUGGAAGUUUGUGAUUUUGCUUUGGCAAAGUUUCAUUGACUAGUAGAACUCAUUCUGUUUUAGUGUAUAUUUCAAUAUAAAUGUAAACAUUUUGCUCAA
rnacentral:lncRNA from 1 species